rnacentral:rRNA from 1 species
GCGCAGCAGUCGCGAAAACUCCGCAAUGCUCGAAAGAGUGACGGGGGGAUUCCAAGUGCCUACGCUUAGCGUAGGCUGUUCAGAUGCCUAAAAAGCAUCUGGAGUAAGGGCUGGGUAAGACGGGUGCCAUCUGCAGUGGUAAUGAAAAACUUGCUACUGCAAGGCAUAAGCCGCCGCGGUAAUACCCGCAGCCCGAGUGGUAGUUGCUUUUAUUGGGCCUAAAGCGUCCGUAGCCGGUCUGGUAAAUGCCUGGGUAAAUCGUGGGGCCUAACCUCACGAAUUCCGGGUAGACUGCCAGACUUGGGACCGGUUGAGGGAGAGGGUACUCCAGGGGUAGGGUGAAAUCCUGUAAUCUUGGAGGACCACCGGCGGCGAAAGCGCUCUCC